CACCAUUGAUUGUAGUUCUAGUAUGAAGGUAUUUAACACUCUCCUAAUAGUCCUUGUUAUACACUAAUGAUUUGUUUUAGCAGAUAUUUCAUGUUAAUCAGAAACAUGAUUGGUACAAAUUAUUCUUUAUAUGUAUAUAUUUCCAAUUUUAUUUUAAGGUAAGAUUUAUGUUUUUUCUUGAAGGUGAAAGGUCUUCAAGGGACAUGAGUUGAUGAAGGCAAGAACAGAAAGUUCAAGAUCGUGCUGUGGAAAUUUCAGUUGUUACCUUUUCAUGUUUUUUUCUUCUCUAGUUCCAAGGUUUUUGGAAUGACCGUGUAAAACUCUUAAGCAAAUAACAAACAAUGAACUUGUUUUAGUUUCCUUUCUCAGUUGUCACUUUUCUAUACUUUUAACAAGUUGUUGUUGGUUUUACACACUUUCAUGUUAUCUUUAGCUAUCAAGAUUCUAUUUAAAUAAAUUUUAUCUUUAAGAUUUAAGAAAAAAUAUUUUUUUUUGUGAAU
rnacentral:lncRNA from 1 species